GUAGGGCCCACUUCUGCUCGUUCAGACCACCUGAAGGAUGUGAUUCAAUUUCCCAGCAUGUGGUAGCCAAAGUUGUAAUUACUUUCAGGACCUAUGAGCACUGGAGCCUACAUCUGUGUUGAGUGGCUGCUCACCAGCUGUGGCUAAUGAUGAGGUGCCUCUGUAAAGGGCCCUUUGGACGUGCUGCCAAGAAUGAAGUUGGUCCUGCUUGUAGUUUCUUGUUGUCUUCAGGUGGUGUUGUGGAGCUGUAGGUGCUGAGUACAGAAGCAGUUUUUGUGGACUGAGCUCUGUAGAUCUCUGCUAAAAGUUACUGGAGGAAGAACUGAGGGAGGGAGAGCAAAGGAAGGCUUCUGUUUAUAGGAUAGGAAAAGUAUUUCCUGCCCAGCUCUAACACUGCUAUUCCACCAGUUUAGACACAAUUUCAGGUUACAGUAAAUUGGAAGAAACAUAAGCUCUACUGGGAUCCUACUACCACAACUAGAGCUAUUUUUGAUACUACAGAGCAGCAGCUUCAAGAGCCAUUUCCCAGUGAGGACAUCACAGUGAUGGUUACAACAAUGACACCACUCUUGGAAUGGGAGGUAUUUCCCUCUGGCAAGUGGUGCUAGGAUGACCUGAGCUGGACCAUGUUUGUUUCCUUGGAAGUUCCUACAAGCUGGUGACAAAAGGAACCCAAAAGGAGGUGUUGACAUAGAAGGAAGGGACUGUCUGUGUCAGGAAGCUUUGAAAAUUAGAAACUGAAGGGCUAAUAAAAAUCAGCUUUGGUUGAUAUUCCGUAACUUAUGUCUGUAUUUGGCAAUUCUAAUUUUGUAAAUACUACUCCCUCUCUUUGUCCCUCUUUACAUCAAGUUUGUAUGAACUUUGUAAAGGAUCUUCAGUGACUGGCACACCUCUGAAACUCAUGCUUUAAGCUACUCUUUUAAUAGUAAUAAAAUUACACAACAGUGUUUUUGGUGAGUUUCUGGUCUGUUGUUUCGUAACUGCUGCUCUUUUAUUACUCAUAGCUGAUUGUCUAUGGCUGUCAAAAUGUGCAGUACAUUGAAAUGUUCAUAUCCUACCUUGUUUCUAUCAAGAGACAGAAUAGUCGUCAAGGGUUCUUCCUAAGGAGCUUAGACUGGUUGUAAUGCUAUGGUUUUUAAAGGCAUGUGGGUCCUCUGAAGUUUUGUACCUAGCUCUUCUUGCAAGAAGAACCUGUUCCCAUUUUUCAAUUGGACAAUGUGUGAAAAGUAACAUAUUUGUUGUCUUUGGAUUCU